rnacentral:misc_RNA from 1 species
GGAAGACAAUAUAACUAAUUUAAUAGCGAUGAAAGCUGUGUAAAAGCUGAAGAAAAAAUGUCAUGUGGUCGGAGCAUGCAAAACCAUCAUCUGUGGUGGUUCAAAUGUGGAGUCAAGAAAUAAGAAACAUAGAGAAACCGUUCACAUAAAAUACACAAGGAUCCUUGUAAUGGAGAUUGAAGGAGCAACUUGGAUGUAAUUGAAGUAAACAUUUCUAGAAACAAAUGAACAUUUG